GAUGAACGCUGGCGGCGUGCCUAAUACAUGCAAGUCGAGCGAACGGACGAGAAGCUUGCUUCUCUGAUGUUAGCGGCGGACGGGUGAGUAACACGUGGAUAACCUACCUAUAAGACUGGGAUAACUUCGGGAAACCGUAGCUAAUACCGGAUAAUAUUUUGAACCGCAUGGUUCAAAAGUGAAAGACGGUCUUGCUGUCACUUAUAGAUGGAUCCGCGCUGCAUUAGCUAGUUGGUAAGGUAACGGCUUACCAAGGCAACGAUGCAUAGCCGACCUGAGAGGGUGAUCGGACACACUGGAACUGAGACACGGUCCAGACUCCUACGGGAGGCAGCAGUAGGGAAUCUUCCGCAAAGGGCGAAAGCCUGACGGAGCAACGCCGCGUGAGUGAUGAAGGUCUUCGGAUCGUAAAACUCUGUUAUUUGGGAAGAACAUAUGUGUAAGUAACUGUGCACAUCUUGACGGUACCUAAUCAGAAAGCCACGGCUAACUACGUG
rnacentral:rRNA from 1 species